rnacentral:lncRNA from 1 species
CGCCCUCGAGGGCCUCCGCCCGCGCGCCAUCGUCCUCUCCGGAGGGCCCCACUCCGUCCACGCCAAGGGGGCGCCCACCUUCCCCGAGGGGUUCCUGGACUUCGCCGACGGCGCGGGCGCCCACGUGCUCGGCGUCUGCUACGGGAUGCAGCUGCUCGUGCAGUUCCUCGGAGGCGCUGUCGAGCCCGGGGAGCGGCAGGAGUACGGGAAGAUGGACGUCGAGGUGACGGCGCCGUCCUCCGCGCUGUACGGGGAGGCGGAAACCGGGAAGCG